GGUUUUAGCUCAGUGGGAGAGCAUCUGCUUUGCAUGCAGAAAAUGCUAGGUUCAAUUCCUGGCAUCGCCA